rnacentral:lncRNA from 1 species
UACAUUGGCACAACUUUCUUCAUCGAUGAUCAUACUACACACCUUAUUAUUGAUAAGGCAACGAGUGUGGAAUAUAUUUUCUCGUAAUUUGUGUUCUUCACUCUUGACUUAUAAGUUGAGAGCUCUCCGGAGAACAAGAGUAUUAAUUUCUUUAGACAUAAUAAAGCAUCUGCAAGAAAAGGUUAGGGAAUUCAAAUAGACUCUCUCUCUCUCUUUUGCUCAUGUUUACUUCACAGCCACUCAGACUAUAGCUU